CCUACGGGUGGCUGCAGUGGGGAAUAUUGGACAAUGGGGGCAACCCUGAUCCAGCCAUGCCGCGUGUGUGAAGAAGGCCCUCGGGUUGUAAAGCACUUUCAGUGAGGAAGAACGCCUGGUGGUUAAUACCCAUCAGGAAAGACAUCACUCACAGAAGAAGCACCGGCUAACUCCGUGCCAGCAGCCGCGGUAAUACGGAGGGUGCGAGCGUUAAUCGGAAUUACUGGGCGUAAAGCGCGCGUAGGUGGCUUGAUAAGCCGGUUGUGAAAGCCCCGGGCUCAAACUGGGAACGGCAUCCGGAACUGUCAAGCUAGAGUGCAGGAGAGGAAGGUAGAAUUCCCGGUGUAGCGGUGAAAUGCGUAGAGAUCGGGAGGAAUACCAGUGGCGAAGGCGGCCUUCUGGACUGACACUGACACUGAGGUGCGAAAGCGUGGGUAGCAAACAGGAUUAGAUACCCUUGUAGUC
rnacentral:rRNA from 1 species